UCUUGAGGGGGGAGUAUUGUAGGAGUACAUAGAUACACCAUUAGAAGUUCGAGGUAGGUUCCAGUAAUGCGGUUUACACCUCGUUGGGUACUGCCACGGUCUCGGUCAUUUGGCUGACUGGACGCCUACCUAAAACACCACACACUCACGCCUGCAAUGGUUUUCCUUUAUUGUGAUUUAAGCACCACCUGGAGUUUGGGCCUCUGUUGUAUACUUGCUGUGACCGUGUCUGGGGAAUCUAACUGCGCCUGUGAACAGCGCCCGCAAAUAAACUCACGGCACCUG